UUUCAGCACAGAACCUAGCCAGC
rnacentral:piRNA from 1 species